AAACCAGCACCUCAAGUGGUCAGGAGGAUUAUUGGGCCUAAAGCAUCCGUAGCCGGCUCUGUAAGUUUUCGGUUAAAUCUGUACGCUCAACGUACAGGCUGCCGGGAAUACUGCAGAGCUAGGGAGUGGGAGAGGUAGACGGUACUCGGGAGGAAGUGGUAAAAUGCUUUGAUCUCUCGAUGACCACCUGUGGCGAAGGCGGUCUACCAGAACACGUCCGACGGUGAGGGAUGAAAGCUGGGGGAGCAAACCGGAUUAGAAACCCGAGUAGUCC
rnacentral:rRNA from 1 species